AAAACUGACCUAGAUAGCUGGUAGAAUUACACUUAGCAGUAAGCCAGUGAGUAGAGGCGAACCCUCUGCUGAAAACCAUCAAAUUGCGGGAAAGCCCUAAGAGCUUUUACAACCAAACAAAAAAGGUGACUUAUUUUGUGGCACAGGUAAUGACUCGUGGUAUGGUAAAAUCGUAAAAGAUAAAUAAGAAUUUAAUGGGUAAUCCGCAGCCAAGCACUUAGAUAAACAUAUUGUUCAGAGUCCGUUAAUUGGACAACCUUUUCGUUAACUAUCUUAAUUAGUGACGAACUUGUCAAUGCAUGUCCGCUAAGUGUGCAGUUCAUCGACUAGACGUUGGUUGGCGCAAGCUUAAGAUAUAGUCAAGCCUCAUUCGAAAGAAUGCA
rnacentral:ncRNA from 1 species